GUCCCCUUCGUCUAGAGGCCUAGGACACCGCCCUUUCACGGCGGUAACAGGGGUUCGAAUCCCCUAGGGGACG
rfam:Idiomarina sp. A28L contig00010, whole genome shotgun sequence.